GGCGAGCGCCACGGUGGAGUUGUCGGUGUCGAUGGUGUAGAGGAUGCCCUCGUAGCGGAUCUGCGCCUUGGAGAUGAGGCUGAUCUUGCUGCCCAGCUUCGCGUCCCUUAAAAUAAACCCCGCGGCCACCAGCGCCUCCCAGCCCCGCCCGGCCCGCCGGCUCCAGCUCAGCCCUCCGGCCGGGUGGCCUCGACCUCGACCUCGACCUCGACCUCGGGGCUCCCUCGUCCCCGCAGCGCCCGCCCGCCCGCCGCCCCGGGGCCUGCACGUGUGCGCAGCUUUAUUGUCUGGGUCCUGGCCGCCCCAACAGGGUCCUGGAAGGCGCUACGUGGAUGAGGAGGACUGAGACCCAGCACGGGACCGGGGCUGCAGGCCGGAGAGGCAGCUCCUGCUGCACAUGAGACAUCCUGCUCCCACCAGCACCCAGCGACAUCUAGGACCAGGGAGCCGGCUUUGAGGAAAGGGAACAGGAAGGAAGCAGAAGAGGAGGUGGAAAGUCUUGAGAAUGUACCUGCCGAGGCUUACCUGUAUGUUCUAGAAUUGAUUCUUGGCACAUGGGAAAGCUGAGAACGGGGACAGCACAGCCAUGGAAUUGGUCUAGCCCCACUAGGAGAGCUCUCUGGGGCUGGGGUGUCCUGCUCCUAGAAGUGGGGUGGGACUUGCCCCUUAGCGCAGCCUUUCCCAGGGGCAUACCUGUCCUGAGUUGCUGCCCCCCUCCACCCCAACUUCCUGAUCGUCCCCCUCCCCCCCCCCAUGUUCUGGGUCUAGCAUAGGACUUGCCCAAUGUCACAGAUUCUCUGCUUCCCAGAUUCUGGUUUCUGAGCCACAAGCUUCUGUGUGUCUCCAUCCCCAGCUGGGUGGGAAUGUACUCGUCAACUGAGAGAUGGUCCUGCCUUGGAAAAGAGAGGUUCCAAGCCUUAGGACCAGGGUGGGGCGCAGUUUCCAGAGACUUCUGAGAGCCUGCCAGACCCUUGGUGUGCAGCUAGGUGGUUCCCUGAGGACAUUAGCCAUGGGGCAAAUGCCCAGGCAGGGCGGAGGCUAAAUAUAUACGGGGUGCACAGGUCCAAGAAUGCCAGCCCUACCGCACAUUCCUUGGUGUCUUGCCCGAAGUGGAGGGCACUUGCAAAAGGUUCAAGAAGGGGAGCAGUUGUGGUGGGACCUAGACUUGACUCAGGAGGCCAUCAGUGUGGUUUGUACCCCGGGCUGGGGUGCACUCAUUCAGCACCUCCACCCGAAACAGCUUUUCACAGUGCCUACCCACCAAGCCUUACAUCGCUGAGCCCAAGGACAGAGAGACAGCUGAGAAGCUGGGAUAUUCUGAGCAGUUCAGACUCCCUCAGUUUCUCAUUUGCUCCAAUGGAGACGAUAGCUCUCCUGCCCAUCUCAUUGGUGGUUGCAAGGACCUAACGGGCCAGGAGCCCAGGCCUACCCAGUAGGAGGCUGCAUGUGCCGAGGACCACAGAGGGAGCUAGCGAGUUUUCCCCUGCAAAAAAGAGCCACUUAAAAAAAAAAAAAAAAAAAAAGCCACUUACUAAGUACCUACUGUGUGUCUAGGGGGAGUGAAGUGGUCCCUGAUACAGACAGGUGUGAAUAUGUGGACACGGGACGCUGUCCUGGGUUCCAUCACAGUCCGGCAGAUCCUGCUGUAGGAAGGACCCUUCACCGCAGAACAUCAUUGUGCCUCUGAUGUCCACCUGAGCAAGAAUGAGCCUCGUGGCCAUUGGAGGCGUGGGUAUCAUUGCUUACCAGGAGCAAAACACAGCAGGUGAGUUGAUUCAAAGGUCAAUAAUAGGCGGUCCACAGAGCAAAAGUCAGCAGCCUGAAGUGUGGGAGCAUGCCAGCGAGGCAGGACCUCUUCCACCCUCUCCUGUCCUGCAUAAGGGAGGGCAGAUGCUCACCUGUUUGGGAGAGCCCUUGCCCACCUGCAGAUAGUGGAGCUGGGAGGGAGCCCAGGGGUUACAGGUGGGCUGGGUGGGGAAGUCCGGGCUGGCUUUGAAGGCGUUGAUUACUAAGACCUUCUAGACGAGAAAAGGGGCACAGGGAGGGUGUGUUCAGGGCCUACCCACGUGUCUGGGGAGUAAAGGCCGGAGGAAGGUGGCUCCUAGUUCUUGCAUAGCCAGGAAUACUCCCUGAGGUCUGACCUGCUCUCUGUGAGUCCUGCUGGAAUCCACUUCCUCUGCCCUGGGCCCUGGAUGGCUGUUUUCCCGGGAGGCUCCAUCAGGCCGGCGGCUGGGGGCUGGGAGACAGCCCGGGGCAGGGACUGUGCCCAGGCUGCCGCCUGCCGGCCCCCAGGACCUGGCCUCUGUGCACUUCCCAAGGGGAGAACGAGAGUGAGACCGAGUCACCGAAGCCACAGCUGAGGAUGUGGAAACGGAAAAGGGGGAUGUAAGGGCCCAUGCACUUGGCAGUUCUCUUUAUUUCUGAAUAAAAGAUAAUUCGAAGGA